AUACGGAGGAUGCGAGCGUUAUCCGGAUUUAUUGGGUUUAAAGGGUGCGCAGGCGGCAUGUCAAGUCAGCGGUCAAACUGCGGCGCUCAACGCCGUACCGCCGUUGAAACUGGCAGGCUUGAGUCCGUGCGAGGAUGGCGGAAUGCGUGGUGUAGCGGUGAAAUGCAUAGAUAUCACGCAGAACUCCGAUUGCGAAGGCAGCUUACUAAGCUACAACUGACACUGAAGCACGAAAGCGUGGGGAUCAAACAGGAUUAGAUACCCUGGUAGUCCACGCAGUAAACGAUGAUUACUAGCUGUUUGCGAUACACAGUAAGCGGCACAGCGAAAGCGUUAAGUAAUCCACCUGGGGAGUACGCCGGCAACGGUGAAACUCAAAUGAAUUGACGGGG
rnacentral:rRNA from 1 species